rnacentral:misc_RNA from 1 species
GAUGAAGAACGUAGCGAAAUGCGAUAAGUAGUGUGAAUUGCAGAAUUCAGUGAAUCAUCGAAUCUUUGAACGCACAUUGCGCCCCUUGGUAUCCCGAGGGGCAUGCCUGUUCGAGCGUCAUUUCACCACUCAAGCCUGGCUUGGUGUUGGGCGACGUCCUCUUUGGGGACGCGCCUCGAAACGCUCGGCGGCGUGGCACCGGCUUUAAGCGUAGCAGAAUCUUUCGCUUUGGAAGUCGGGGCCCCGUCUGCCGGAAGACCUGCUCGCAAGGUUGACCUCGGAUCAGGUAGGGAUACCCGCUGAACUUAAGCAUAUCAAUAAGCGGAGGA